rnacentral:rRNA from 1 species
UACGUAGGGUGCGAGCGUUGUCCGGAAUUAUUGGGCGUAAAGAGCUUGUAGGCGGUUUGUCGCGUCUGCCGUGAAAAUUCGAGGCUCAACCUCGAACUUGCGGUGGGUACGGGCAGACUAGAGUGUGGUAGGGGAGACUGGAAUUCCUGGUGUAGCGGCGAAAUGCGCAGAUAUCAGGAGGAACACCGAUGGCGAAGGCAGGUCUCUGGGCCACUACUGACGCUGAGAAGCGAAAGCAUGGGGAGCGAACAGG